GGAAUAUUGCACAAUGGGCGCAAGCCUGAUGCAGCCAUGCCGCGUGUAUGAAGAAGGCCUUCGGGUUGUAAAGCACUUUCAGUCGUGAGGAAGGUNGUGUCGUUAAUAGCNGCAUNUNUUGACGUUAGCNACAGAAGAAGCACCGGCUAACUCCGUGCCAGCAGCCGCGGUAAUACGGAGGGUGCGAGCGUUAAUCGGAAUUACUGGGCGUAAAGCGCAUGCAGGUGGUUUGUUAAGUCAGAUGUGAAAGCCCGGGGCUCAACCUCGGAAUUGCAUUUGAAACUGGCAAACUAGAGUACUGUAGAGGGGGGUAGAAUUUCAGGUGUAGCGGUGAAAUGCGUAGAGAUCUGAAGGAAUACCNGUGGCGAAGGCGGCCCCCUGGACAGAUACUGACACUCAGAUGCGAAAGCGUGGGGAGCAAACAGGAUUAGAUACCCUGGUAGUCCACGCCGUAAACGAUGUCUACUUGGAGGUUGUGGCCUUGAGCCGUGGCUUUCGGAGCUAACGCGUUAAGUAGACCGCCUGG
rnacentral:rRNA from 1 species